UACGAACCGUCCUAACGUUAUUCGGAAUCACUGGGCUUAAAGGGUGCGUAGGCGGCCCGGUAAGUUGGGUGUGAAAUCCCUCGGCUCAACCGAGGAAUGGCGCUCAAGACUGCCGGGCUCGAGGGAGAUAGAGGUGAGCGGAACUUAGGGUGGAGCGGUGAAAUGCGUUGAUAUCCUAAGGAACACCGGUGGCGAAAGCGGCUCACUGGGUCUCUUCUGACGCUGAGGCACGAAAGCUAGGGGAGCGAAC
rnacentral:rRNA from 1 species